rnacentral:rRNA from 1 species
GACGGAGAGGGUGUCAAACGUUUGCUCGGAAUUAGCUGGGCGUAAAGCGCGUGUAGGUGGACUGGAUCGUGUCAGAAGUGUGAAAUCCCUGGGCUCAACCCAGGAACUGCACCUGAAACUACCAGCCUUGAGUGGUGGAGAGGGAAAGUGGAAUUCCUGGUGUAGAGGUGAAAUUCGUAGAUAUCAGGAGGAACACCAGUGGCGAAGGCGGCUUCCUGGGACACCAAACUGACGGCUGAGAACGGCGAAAGCGUGGGGAGCAAACACGG